rnacentral:lncRNA from 1 species
CCAGCCUGGGCAACAGAGCGAGACUCCGUCUCAGCACCUGGGUUGAUUUCAUGUUUUCGCUAUUGUGAAGGGCACUGCAAUGAACAUACGUAUAGGUGCAUUCUACCUUUUGGUAGAAUGAUUUUCCUUUGGAUAUAUACAUAUCCAGUAAUGGGAUUGCCAGGUGGAAUGGUAGUUCAACUCUUAGUUCUUUGAGAAAUCUCUAAACUGCUCCCCACAGUGGCUAGACUAAUUUACAUUCCCACCAACGGUGUAUAAGUGUCCCUUUUCUCCAUAGCAUCGCCAAUAUCUGUUAUUUUUUUGACUUUUUAACAAAAGUCAUCCUGACUGGCGUGAGAUGGCAUCUCAUUGUGUCAACUGCUAUCUUAUAAUGCAUGUUUUGUUGUGAGUUUUUUCUUUUAAGGCAUCCCAAGAUGGCUUUCCAAGGCUAGUGUUGUCUCCUAUAGAGGAACGAGUUUCCUUAAGAUGAAUCACUGGAUACAUGAGAUAUUACUAGUCUUUUCUUUGGAGUAUAAACUUGGAAUGAAUAGACAAGAUGGGAAGAUAUUUUAA